GGCCUCUGAAAUGGCUGCUUCAGGGCAGCUGUCUUUUAUGGUCGCAGCUGUGGGGAUGAAAUAAGCCCCAGUUUCUCAGAGUGCUCCCAGGCUUAUUAGGACGAGGAAAUUCCUGCCUAAUAAAUUUUGGUCAGACCAGUUGUCUGCUCUCAAACCCUGUCUCCUGAUAAGAUGUUAUCAAUGACAAUGCAUGCCCGAAACUUCAUUAGCAAUUUUAAUUUCACCCCAGUCCUGUGGUCCUGUGAUCUCGCCCUGCCUCCAUUUACCUUGUGAUAUCUUAUUACCUUGUGAAGCAUGGGAUCUCUGUGACCCAUACCCUAUUUGUACACUCCCUCCCCUUUUGAAAAUCACUAAUAAAAAAUUUGCUGGUUUUAUGGCUCAGGGGGCAUCACAGAACCUGCCAACAUGUGAUGUCUGCCCUGGACACCCAGCUUUAAAAUUUCUCUCUUUUGUACUCUGUCCCUUUAUUUCUCAAACCGGCC
rnacentral:lncRNA from 1 species